rnacentral:lncRNA from 1 species
AUUUGACAGGUGGCGUUAUUGUAUUGGGCUGGCGUAGUAUCGUGUGUAGGAGGCUGUUACCGACUGAGGAUUUGUAAACGCAUCAAAUUUCAGGUGCGAGAGGGAGUCGAUUGUGUCAUUGGUGAGUCGGUGCCGAAUGGAGGCAAUUGAAGCAAGAACCAUAUGGUUGUAGGAUUGGGCAGGUGGUAUGUACAGGAAGAUUUUGAUGAGGAUGAGGAUGAGGAUGAUGAAUGCAACUCGGAAGGUGGUAGUAGGAUGGGCGAAAGAAUAUAAAAGAUAUUUAUCCACCACCACCACGAACCAAAUAUUACUGUCUCCACCACUUGUCUCUGUCGACCUUCCAGAAAUUUGGGGUUCCACUUCCACCCUCUAUCAUCACCAUCCCUCCCAAAGUCCUGUAUCUGUAAGUGUUUGUUUUACUCUCUCUUUUUAAUAAGAUUUUUAAUUCUUAUUGUGCAAUUUAGUUUGUUCUUUUAUUUUGAUAAUUGGAUGGUGCCAAGCCAUAUCUAACUACUUACUCUAGUUUGUUUCCACUGACUUUACCUCUUUUCAUGGAUGCCAUGACAUUAGUUGCUCUUUUGCUUAAAUACACGUAUUUUUGCACUUAUCUUUUAAGGUUAAUUACAACUUAGACGGCCGUGUGAAAGUUCUAGCAAAAAUGAUUAUUCCAACUUUGUGCUGCAUUAUUUAUAGAGGAAUGCUCCUUCCCUAUUUGCCUUUUGUGUAAGUGAUGCUAGACUGCUUGGUGGAGAGCUAGGGUUUGUGAUAUUUUCCAAUAUAAAUUGUUCUAAUUCUUGAUAAAAAUAUGAAGUGAUGAGAAUGCCUAAGAUUCACACUUGGGAUAGAAAGAAAGAAAACCUAAGCAUCGGACGAGACUUCCUUAGGAGUCCCACCUUAUGUCUAUUGCAUCAUACAAUCACAAUAGCACUAAUGCUGAAAAUUUCUCAUCAUAACUUGCUAUGUUACUUGGAGUUGGAUAUGUAUAUAGCUUGGGUAUGGUUAGAUUUUUCUCUGUUUUUCCAUAUAUUUGGAGGAUCCUUUGGAGGCCAUAUCCCCAUAUCCAUGUGUUAGACAUGGGUACUUCAAGAAGAAUGAAGAGUCCAAGCAACAUAGGUAACUUGUAUGAGGAAAACCAAACUAAGAUACUAAACCCUCAUAUAAAUGUAAAAUUCCAAACAUAACUUGACAUGUAUAUAUUAUUGAACUUAAAUACAACAAAGUAACAGAAUAAAGUCUCAAGUAAGUUAAUGCCUCAAUUGGCUUGUAUGCGUUCUUCACAUGCUUGAUUAGUAAAUAUUCACCAUUGUACAUGUGCGGCACGCAAAAAUAAUUAAUGGAAAGUCUAUUGCUGAGGAAAUCACAUCAAGAGUAGCCUCUAACGUAAAAAGGAUGAAAGAGUCCAUUGGCAAAGUUCCUGGUUUGGCUGUAAUUUUGGUGGGCCAAAGAAGGGACUCAUUGACUUAUGUUCGUAACAAGAUAAAAGCUUGUGAAGAAGCUGGAAUCAAAUCUGUGGUGGCAGAAUUUCCUGACUCUUGUGCUGAAGAGGAUAUUAUGACUUCCUUGUCAAAGUUUAAUGAGGAUCCCUCAGUUCAUGGUAUC